GUGAGGACUUGGGAGGUGGAGGGCGGCGUGGCCGGCCCGGCGGGCGCCGUCUCAGCUCGCCGCGCCCCCCACCUCCUCUCUCCUCAG
rnacentral:pre_miRNA from 15 species